rnacentral:snRNA from 1 species
GCGCUUGCUUCAGUAGCACAUAUACUGAAAUUAGAAUGAUACAGAGAAGAUUAGUAUGGCCUGUGUGAGAAUGACUCGCAAAUUCGUGAAGCGUUUCAUUUUUGC